rnacentral:lncRNA from 1 species
AUGGACACCCUUGAUAAAAAUGAAUUGGUGGGACAAUUUGUUCAAUGGGGAGUGGUGGAAGAAAUGGUUGUAAUUGCUGGUGAUGCACUAAUAACUUUUGUUUUCCUUCCCUGUCUAAUUCCUUGCAUGAUCUGGACUAUAACAAAUGCUGUCCAAACCUCCCUUGAACUGAGCUUACAAAAGAAGUUGACUGAUGAAAGAAUUGAAAACCUCCGGGUGAUGAAAAUUGAGAACCCAGAAGAAGACCAAGGCUCAGAAGCAGUGAAAGAAAUAUGUCUCUUUGUGACUGCAGGUCAUGGGAACCUUGGCUUGAAGGUGUCCAUGGAAAGACUGCAAUGCCAGUGGACUGGAAUUUUUCAUCUGAACAUAACACAAAAAUGCCUACUUACACUGAUCGUUAGAUGUCCUGCUCUCCUCUUCAGGUCUUCUGCAAGUUUCUGGUGUGUAGAACAGACUGCUUUCUUCAGCUGGAAAUUCUAUUGGAAAUUUCCUGUGAGAAGGGAAGAGCUCACUCUCUGCAGGUGGGAUCCCACUGUGAAUCCUAGUGUGUCCAGUCAAGUUUUCUGGACUUUAUGUGCUCAUGUUCUGACAGAGCAAGGUAAGGAAAGGGCACCAAUGUACAAAUGGAAGAGAGACUCCACUACCUUGCUUGGCAUUUUAAAAUAAAAAUUAUUGCUGUCUCCUUGGGUGGAAAGGCUUAAGUGGGCUUAAUUUGUGAAGCUGACAGAUGAAAGCAACAUAAAGAUUCCCUUCAAGUUCAAACAUUUUUCACAGCAGUAUGAUCAAAGGACUAGAGCAAAUAGCACCUUUACAAUGUCAACUGCAUUAUUCUAGGUAAAAAGGUGAUUAAAUUAUAUAAAUAAUUUAAAAUGUGUGUUUCUUAAAAAACUACAAACAAUUAAAAAAUUGAAACAUGGACAAAUUGAAUAAUGAAAAGCUAAUUAAUUUUUUUUUUUCUAGAGGCUAUUUACUUCAAGAAGUCUUGCUCUUAAAUGCAUCUUUGAAGGAGAGCCAUGACUAGGAGCUCCUGUAGUGUAACUGCCUUUACUUUUAAUUAUGGGAGAUGGGAACCAGCACUGGAAAAAUAUAAUGUCAAGAAUAUGAUGUACAGUUUUUGGAGAGGAACAGGAGUCUGAGGAAAGUACAAUAUCAACAUUUCCUAUAGAAAUUGUAAUUUUUUUUUCAUAUUUCCUCUAUAAAAAUGAGACUUUACUUACCCCUUGCAGUAUAUAUUCAUAAUCGGGUCCUAUGGCUUAUCACAGUCAUCCUUUCAUUCAUUUUAAUUAUUUAUUUUUGCUGUCAUGUAUCUGUUGGGCCAAUAUCUUUUUAUUUUAGUGUGCCAAAGAUAUUUGGAGUUACACUUGCCCUUCACAUCUGAAAAUCACAUGUUUUUCUCAUUUUUUCUAAACAAUAGAAUGGAUUUGUCAGUCAUGGAGAUCUGAAAAUCUGCUUUAUCUAUUGCUUUAUAUAACCAUUAUGUGACAGUAUCACCAACCUGCGUAGAAGACCUGCCUGAUUCAAACAAUAAAUGUUUUGAUUCAAUACA